rnacentral:rRNA from 1 species
CGCGGUAAUUCCAGCUCCAAUAGCGUAUACUAAAGUUGUUGCAGUUAAAAAGCUCGUAGUUGAAUUUCUGGUCGUGAAAAGUGGUCCGUUCCGCAAGGAAUGUGUACUGUCUAUUCAUGUCCAUCCUCGGAGUUAGUGUGUAUUACUUUAAUCGGUCGUGCAUGCAAUACUUCGUCAUUUACUGUGAGCAAAAUAGAGUGUUCAAAGCAGGCUUAUGCCGUUGAAUAUAUUAGCAUGGAAUAAUAAGAUAUGACUUUGGUCUAUUUUGUUGGUUUGCACUCCAAAGUAAUGAUUAAUAGGGAUAGUUGGGGGUAUUCGUAUUCAAUUGUCAGAGGUGAAAUUCUUGGAUUUAUGGAAGACGAACUACUGCGAAAGCAUUUACCAAGGAUGUUUUCAUUAAUCAAGAACGAAAGUUAGAGGUUCGAAGGCGAUUAGAUACCGCCCUAGUUCUAACCAUAAACGAUGCCAGCUAGCGAUCUGCCUGCGUUUUUACUGUAGACUGGGCAGGAAGCUUCCGGGAAACCAAAGCAUUUGGGUUCCAGGGGAAGUAUGGUUGCAAAGCUGAAACUUAAAGGAAUUGACGGAAGGGCACCACCAGGAGUGGAGCCUGUGGCUUAAUUUGACUCAACACGGGAAAUCUCACCAGGCCCGGACACUGGAAGGAUUGACAGAUUGAUAGCUCUUUCUUGAUUCGGUGGGUGGUGGUGCAUGGCCGUUCUUAGUUGGUGGAGUGAUUUGUCUGGUUAAUUCCGAUAACGAACGAGACUCUGUCCUGCUAAAUAGUUUCUACUUCUCUUUUGAGUAGAAAUUUCUUCUUAGAGGGACUGGUGACUCUUAGUCACACGAGAUUGAGCAAUAACAGGUCUGUGAUGC